rnacentral:rRNA from 1 species
UACAGAGGGUGCGAGCGUUAAUCGGAAUUACUGGGCGUAAAGCGCACGUAGGUGGCGACGUAAGUCGGGUGUGAAAGCCCCGGGCUCAACCUGGGAAUUGCAUUCGAGACUGCAUUGCUGGAGUACGGAAGAGGAGGGCGGAAUUCCCGGUGUAGCGGUGAAAUGCGUAGAUAUCGGGAGGAACAUCAGUGGCGAAGGCGACACACUGGCCCGUUACUGACGCUGAGGCGCGAAAGCGUGGGGAGCAAACAGG